UGGGGGUCCUUUACACAGCUCAAGGUCUGGGUCCCAGGGUCCACCUUCAUGUUCCACCAAUGAGUUUGUUCACAGGGGGUGGAGUGUGUAGGGGAUGUCCUGAUAUGUGUGUAAGGAAUGCAUUGUGUGAAAUUGUGUUUGUAUGUGUAAGGACUGCAAGGUGUGUUUCUGUGUAUGUAUGGGAUGCAUUGAGUGUGUGUAAUGAAUGCAUUGUGUGUUUCUGUGUGUGUAAGGGAUGCAUUGUGUGUAACGGUUGCAUUGCUUGUGUAUGUGUGUCUGUGUGUUUUUCUGUGUGCAAGGGGUGCAUUGUGUGUAUGUGAUGAAUGUCAAUCUCUCCUCCCGCUCCAAU